GUCCACAGCCAUGCCACCCUGAACUUGCCCGAUCUCAUCUGAUCUCGGAAGUUAAGCAGGGCCGGGCCUGAUUAGUACUUGUAUGGGAACUCAUCUAGAAAUACCAGGUGCUGUAGGCA
rnacentral:rRNA from 1 species